CGUCCCAUCCCGUUCCAUUCUCUUCCAUUCUCUUCCAUGAUCUCCCUAGACCAAAGUCUUUCAGGAAAAGCUCAAACCUGGAAAUGAGCUGUGUGUUCUGUGUGCUGGGGUAACCUGACAGGUCACAGUCAGGGACAGACCCCCUGUGCCUCAGGCUGUAGGAAAAGGCUCCCUGUGGGACAGGCAGGACUGAUGGCCUCGGCGUGGGAAUCACCAAGAGCCAUUCCGAGGCUGCACUCCUUGGGAAGACAGUUCACAUCUACCUAAAGGGGAGUAAAGGCUGUGACCACCAUGGGAUGGCCACAGUCACCUGUCCUGUGUGGGCACAAACUCAGAGCACAUGGCCGUGUUUCAGAGCGUGUCUGAUGCAUCCCACUGGGUACAUCCAUCGCUCCAAAACUGCUGCAUCCCAAAAUGCUCUGAAGCACCAUGGCUGUGCUACAUCCCAGAGCAGCUGUGGCUGCUCCUGGAUCCCUGGCAGUGAACAAGGCCAGGCUGGACAUUGGGGCUGGGAGCACCUGGGACAGUGGGAGUUGUCCCUGCCAUGGCAGGGAUGAAAUGGAAUGAGCUGUAGGGUCGCUCCCAACCCAAACCAUUCCAGGUUCUGUGAUUCCACAAUCCCAGUGCACAGCCCUGUUCCAGCCAGUCCUGUGCUGUCACAAUGAAGACAUCCUUGUCCCCUAUGGAAUGUGUGACACCCUCAUCAGCACCACAGCAGCCCUUGGUGUUCAUUGAGGAGCUCACUACAGCUAAGCUCACCCUGAAUGCAGCCUCAUCAUCUGUCCUUCAGCUCUGUAAAAUGAAGAUAUUUGGGGGAAUGGGGUCUUUGCCACAUCCUGAGAUUGCUUUUAAAUUCAUUUAUCCUAUAUAUUUCCAGAAAUUCGAUUUUAAAUCACCCUGAUAACAACCUGGCAGAAGUAGAAAACACAAGUUCUGUCCUUGGCUCUCUGCUGGGCAGCAUGAGGAGGCAGGAGGGCUUCAAGUGAGGGAAGUAAUUGGGAUUUCAUCUCCGAGCAGAGUGGAGCAGACAGAUCAGCAGAGGGCAGGAGCUGCAGUGCCCUGAGGUGUCCCCAGGACAGGAUUAAAGGAGGCCUUUGCAGCGCUCAGCUCUGUCUGAGCUCCUGUCCCCUUCCUGUGGAUAUUCUCAGUUCAGCUGAAGAAAGAACAGAGAUAAUUUAUCCCAGGCUGAGUCUGGAAAUCUUAGAAGAAAGAAUUAAAACAAUUAUUAUCUCUCUUUCUGUAA